rnacentral:rRNA from 1 species
UACGUAGGGGGCUAGCGUUGUCCGGAAUCAUUGGGCGUAAAGCGCGCGUAGGCGGCCCGGUAAGUCCGCUGUGAAAGUCAAAGGCUCAACCUUUGAAUGUCAGCGGAUACUGCCGGGCUAGAGUCCGGAAGAGGCGAGUGGAAUUCCUGGUGUAGCGGUGGAAUGCGCAGAUAUCAGGAGGAACACCAACGGCGAAGGCAGCUCGCUGGGACGGUACUGACGCUGAGGAGCGAAAGCGUGGGGAGCAAACAGG